AUUGUUGGUGAUACUUUUUAUCGGUUUUCAUGGCUGUGCCGAGGGGAUUAAUUCUUUUUUUUGUUCUUUCCUUUCUUUCCAUCUUGCUUCGCUUUUGUGGUUCAUAGCAAAUAGAAGGGAACUCAUUACAUGGAUAAGGAUAAUACAUUCUUCUUUAUUCUCCUAUGAUUUUCUUUGUCUUUUUCUACGGUUUCCUAUAAUUUUAAUCCUCCUAUUUUACUUUUAUUGUGGGUGUAGUUAAUCAACAAAAAAUGAGCCGUAAAGGAGGAGUACCUGAUACUGAAUUUUAACGAGAAAAUUUGGCGACACAUUCACCUAGAGCGUUGGUUUUUCUGUACUUCAAAUUUUAUUAUUAUCAUUGGGUUUAUUUCUGACUUAGAUUUUGUUUGUGCUGCAUAUGAAUUACUAAUAGCUGAGAGUUUGUCAUCUGAUUGCAGUGAAUUGCAAUAUCACACAACCCCGGUACUGCAGCAAUUUGAUUUACAAAACUCAAUAGUCCACAGAGCCAUAUUUUCGACCAAAUUAAAGUAAAUCUACGGAAGAAUAUCCCAAACUCCCAAACUUAACUGCUUAACCACUUUCCCACUUUCUUACGUCUUUUUUGUAUUUAAUACUUUCGCACAAAUGGUUUUGAUGUAAAUGCCAACACUUUUUUCUUUGGAGAACUCGAGUCUUGCGUCUUCUUUAAUUUUGGUAUACCUCUUUAUGUGAAUUGUGUGAAGUAGUUGAACGGAGACUCUGAUAUUAGUUGACGUAUCGUCAUGUGUUGCUGCAGCAAGUUACCGACUUAAUCGUGAUGUCCGUAGCAGCACAAAUUGGAGUUUUCAGAACCUUCCAUUAAUGGGUAAUCUAAGUUCUUUAUUCCGGGAAUAACAGUAACAAUGCAGCAACAACAGUUCUUAAACGCAAUUCAAGGUAAUUUUUUUAUUUCAUCGGGUAAAUUUGUUUUCUAAGUUUUUCUUUUUGUAUACAUUAAUCAGAAGGAUUCCCCCCCCCCCCCCCCCCAAUCUGGGAUAGCUCACAUGAUACUCUAUGGUGGGAAAAAAACAACCAAAAACGGUGUAAGACGAGAUUACCAUCGUAGUCGAAUAUUUAUUUUUUUGAUAGUUAAUGGGAGGUAAGAGGUUUACAAAGAAUGAAUACUGAUAAAACAAUACGUAGCAUAUUAAAGGGAUGGAAAAGGUUCACAAAGAAUGAACACAAAUUUACAAGCAGGUUUGGACCAAAGAGGAACAUAACAAAACUAUAAAAAUUGAAAUACCUAUACAAACUCUUGAAAGAAAGUUGUAUAUACAAGAAGACUGACAGGUAAAGACGAAACUCAAGGUCGUUCAAAACCAGAAUUUUCGAUCGAAGCACGAAGUGACGAGCGAUACAGUCAGUAGGAAAAUAUGCACGGUAUACAGAACGGAUAUACUUUGCUCCAAACUAAAUGGGAAGUGGCUACUUGGUUGGCCAAUUGGAGGAUUCCCCUUUUCUCAGGGUCCAUACCAUUGUGCAACUAAAGUAGGCAGAUCUUUUGGAAUAGAGAUUUUGGAUGCUCACUGCAAAGCUUGCACAUUAGUGGCACUAAUGGAGAAGCCAGGUUAUGGUAUUAUAACACAUCUGAACGAAAUGCUCAUCUUACCAUGGUUAUUGGUUGAUAUUGCCAUCGGUUCGUACUAUGACCGGUCUAGACCUAAAUAUGAUUAGUGGUUCGUCAAUACCUUAAAUACUGCCAAUAUUGACGUCAACCACUGAAUCACAUUAGUUUGUCGCACCCUUUCUUUUAUAGUGAUGUAGCACGCCAAGUGAGAUAUACGUAUUCAAUUGAAAGAUGCUAGACAUACCGAAGUUUUACA